CAUCGGCGCUAGUGUUUCCUUCAAACACUUUAGUUUUAGGUUAAGUUUAUUGUUGUAAGGCUUUUUCACAGACAUGUCACAGACGCCGAAAUAUAUUUUUAUCUUAAUUAAUAUAUAAUAUUACGGGAUAAAUGCACUUAAAAAUGAGGUUAAAAUUUUCGCGUGGUAAGAUUUAGUGAUUUCAUUAAUAUCUUCAAUGAUAUUGGAUUACGUUUUCUAAAAAGUUAGCUCUUUGGACCCCAUUGGAAACGGAUAAAAGAAGCAGAAAAAAUAAAAGUGUCUGAGUGUCAAAAAAAUGUUCUUCAGUUCCAGAAUUUUGGCUUCUUAUGCACAGUCGAGAAGUCUGACAGAAGCGGAGAUGCACUUAUUGUUCGAUGAAGCAAACAACAAUGAAGAAAUAUAUGAAUCCCAUAUGAGUGAAUAAAUAUGAUGAAAGGAAUAAGCAAACGUUAUACUCUCAUCAUGUAAUCAGAGUAAGAAUCAAUGCUUUAUUUUGUCAGUUCCAUCACCUAUGACUGAUUACAUUCACCGAGGAAGCUGUUGUAUAAGUGAUAUCAGUACCGAGAAAAUGUGGUACUUCAUUAUAUGUGAAUAAAGUAAAUGAUGCAGAAUUUUUUGAGAGCAGUUGACUAAAGAUAUUAUCCAGACAGGAGCGAGAAGAAAGUGCAAAUUUUGUGACAAGCUGACUCGAGAAAUCGAUAGAGAUUAUCGAGUUUUUAAAAAUUGUGCUCAUGCCUAACAAAGUGUUAUUUCGCAGAC